GACGAACGCUGGCGGCGUGCUUAACACAUGCAAGUCGAACGAAGAGCGAUGGAAGCUUGCUUCUAUCAAUCUUAGUGGCGAACGGGUGAGUAACGCGUAAUCAACCUGCCCUUCAGAGGGGGACAACAGUUGGAAACGACUGCUAAUACCGCAUACGAUCUAAUCUCGGCAUCGAGGAUAGAUGAAAGGUGGCCUCUACAUGUAAGCUAUCACUGAAGGAGGGGAUUGCGUCUGAUUAGCUAGUUGGAGGGGUAACGGCCCACCAAGGCGAUGAUCAGUAGCCGGUCUGAGAGGAUGAACGGCCACAUUGGGACUGAGACACGGCCCAGACUCCUGCGGGAGGCAGCAGUGGGGAAUCUUCCGCAAUGGACGAAAGUCUGACGGAGCAACGCCGCGUGAGUGAUGACGGCCUUCGGGUUGUAAAGCUCUGUUAAUCGGGACGAAAGGCCUUCUUGCGAAUAGUGAGAAGGAUUGACGGUACCGGAAUAGAAAGCCACGGCUAACUACGUG
rnacentral:rRNA from 1 species